rnacentral:rRNA from 1 species
GACGAACGCUGGCGGCGUGCCUAAUACAUGCAAGUAGAACGCUGAAGCUUGGUGCUUGCACCGAGCGGAUGAGUUGCGAACGGGUGAGUAACGCGUAGGUAACCUGCCUGGUAGCGGGGGAUAACUAUUGGAAACGAUAGCUAAUACCGCAUAAUAGUAGAUGUUGCAUGACAUUUGCUUAAAAGGUGCAAUUGCAUCACUACCAGAUGGACCUGCGUUGUAUUAGCUAGUUGGUGAGGUAACGGCUCACCAAGGCAACGAUACAUAGCCGACCUGAGAGGGGGAUCGGCCACACUGGGACUGAGACACGGCCCAGACUCCUACGGGAGGCAGCAGUAGGGAAUCUUCGGCAAUGGACGGAAGUCUGACCGAGCAACGCCGCGUGAGUGAAGAAGGUUUUCGGAUCGUAAAGCUCGGUUGUAAGAGAAGAACGAGUGUGAGAGUGGAAAGUUCACACUGUGACGGUAUCUUACCAGAAAGGGACGGCUAACUACGUG